GGUCGGCCUGCGCCGCCGGGACAGUCGGGCCUGGGGGCGGGACCUCCGUGACCUUGUGUCGCGUUAUCAAGGGCGACGACUGUGCGCCCGGGGCCGCCGGGCGGCCCUCGUCUGCCCAUAAGUCUCGGUUUGUCCAUCCCAGAAAUGGGGCAGACGUUCGCCUCCACGGUAGAGAGUUUGAAAAGACGGCGAUGGGGCAGAAGCAGCUCACAUCCCUGGGGUCUUUAUAAGUCACGGGCCACCGGUCCGGACUGCUGAAAGUCAGUCUCUUCCAACCAAACCAGGGCAGGCCAAAUAGCUACAAAGAGUAAAAGGGAGAGUUUCAGGCUUGACUUGUCUCUCCCAAAACUCUGGCGCCAACGCCCACCAGCAAAACUGGGCUUAUUCAUUCAUUACAAUUCUCUCGCCUUCCUGGAGGGACUGAGUGUCACUGCUUAGAGACCCAUCAACCAGCACUUGCGGAGUGGACAGACUCGCUGCUUGUCUGGAGUUCAGCGAGAAGCAACAGCUCACGGCAAUGCUGGAUCCUUAAUCCACUGGGCAGGACCAGGGAUCAAACCCACAUCCUCACGGACACACAGUUGGGUUAACUCACUGAGCUACAACAGGAACUCUGAAAAUCAUUCGUUUCUGAGAGGCAUCCUUGUUGCUGGCCCAGAGCUAUGGGCUUCCGAUCAGGCAGCAACACUUCUUUCCUGAUGCCGAAGUGAACCAGUGAGCACCAGCCACAGGCAGGCCGAGGCCCACACCGUCCUUUGUAAGGACCUAAUUACUUCAUACCGUUUGCAGCAUCUGAAGGGCUGUGAUGGACUGCAACACCCCACUUCGCCGUGGUACCCCCAAGUAGGUUCUUGUGAUGCUGUGGAUUAAGAGGGAAGCAGGCAUGGAGGAUGGUUUUCAAGGCUGGGAGGAAAAGCUCCUUUUGAAAAGGGUAGUGUGGCUCGGGGCCGGCGGCCCACGGUGCCUCUGUCCUCCCACCUAUGGCUGGGUGGAGGGGUCAGCCCUGCCUUUUCCGAGGGCGGGAAGCAGAGGAGCUGGCUCGAGGCCAAGGCCAAGGCCCUGUGCCCUGACUUCCCCACCCCCUGGGUUCUCAGGCCCACGGUUUGCUUUGCCACUCCCGCCGCAUACACAAGUUCCCAGGCCAGGGACCGCACCUGCACCACAGCAGUAACAACACCGAAUCCUUAACCACGAGGCCACCAGGGAACUCCCAGGCUCAUGGUUUCUACGACCUGCUCUCUCCGACUCCGGUCUCUUCCUAAUCCCCUCACGUCUAUACCACUGCCUUCCUCAAGUUCUUCUGAGAGCGCCCUGUGAAUUUUGCGUUCAGUGAAGUAAUUUCAGCACAUGGAUCCGAGUCUGUCCUCUGUGAGGAGCAUGAGCUUGAGGAAAGCGCCUUUUGCACCCUCAUCUCAUCACAGUUCCUCAGUUUUCUCUGGCAGCCUGGCUGCUCACAUCUGCUGUCUCUCUCCUGACCCAUUUCCCACUCUUGACUUUGCAGAGACAUCACAGCCGGGUCACGCGGUGCAGCGAGCUUGGGAUACCCUGGGAAGGUGCAGCAUGGCUCUGGGAGCCCAGGUGGGCACUGUCUCCAUUCCUAUGAGCUCCUGCUCACCUACACACGAAGCAGCUACUUCCUAGCACUGGCCUUGGGCAACAUACUUCCUGGUUAUGCUCUGGCUGCUACCCAAUGCUCAGCUCUUUUCUUUUUUUUAGAGCAACUCUCUAAUGCAGGUUUUUUGGUUUUUGGUUUUUUUUUUUAAGGGCCGCACCUGGGG